AGUUCCAAACCAAUCUCUCUUAUUUUUUCCUAUUAGCGAUGCAUCUACAUCGUCAUCUCGAGUUAUGCGGAUUGAUUGGUUCUUUGUAGUAUUUUGAUUUUCUUUAUGCUUUGAAUUUCAGGUGGCGAUUCGUUUCGAUUUGGGUUUCUCUUAUUAAGCUAAUUGUUCAUAAACGCUAGACAGUCAGAGAGGAAUUUACUCGAAUGAUUUACGGUUAAUCUGCGGCGUCGGAUCAGGCAACACAAUUGCUCGAUCUGAUCUUAUGUUUGUUUCUGGUACCGAAAAGUAUUUUAAUUAGUUUAUGUAAUUGAUGAUUUUGUGUGUUGUAUGUAGGUAAUUUUGUAGUAAAGUCGCUGCAAUGUUUGACAGCGAUGAUGAUAGUAGUGUGACUUCGUCGUCGACUACUCGAACUGAUCUUAUGUCUGUUUCUG